ACCCUGAGACUCAUGUUCUUGUGUACAUACUCAACAAAUCUAUAGAAUAAUAACCGUAACAGACUUACUUGAAAGACUGCCAACUUGGAUGUUCGACCAGAGUUCAGAAGACAACAAUCUGUGCAAAUAAUGAAUAAACAAACAAUAAAUAUUGAGGCAAACAACAGGAAUUCUGCAGAUGCUGGAAAUUCAAGCAACACACAUCAAAGUUGCUGGUGAACGCAGCAGGCCAGGCAGCAUCUGUAGGAAGAGGUGCAGUCGACGUUUCAGGCCGAGACCCUUCGUCAGGACUAACUGAAGGAAGAAAUGAAAAGCAUCAUCCUGACAGCAGAUACGGCGGAGAUGGAGGAAUUGCGAGAAGGGGAUGGCGUUUUUGCAAGAGACAGGGAAAUGGAAACAGAGUCUAUGGAAAAAGGGCAAAGUGGCAUCAACUUCGUGGACCUUUACAGUUUACAGAGGAGGAAGCUGUGUUUAGGCAAAUUGGGGUGGAUAAAUCCCCAGGGCCUGACAAGGUGUUCCCUCGGACCCUGUGGGAGGCAAAUGAAGAAAUUGCCGAGGCCCUGGCAGAGGUAUUUCAAUCGUGCUUAGUGACAGAUGCCGACUGAAUUGCUGCCUGCUCCCGCCGUAUUUUUGUCUUAACGUUCAGCAUUCCAGCAUCUGCAGCGUUCCGCUUUGGGAACACGUGGUUAAGAAGGCACCUGGGUCGAGGCUGUCAUUUACAAGUCAGAAGUGCACAGGUGGAGAUGCAGAGAAGGUUUUGAGGGUGACUGGUCACUCAUUACAGGAAGGAGGUGGAGGCUUUGGAGAGGGUGAGGAAGAGGUUCAUCGGGAUGCUGCCUGCAUUAGAGGGUGUGUGCUGUAAAGAGAGGUUAGACAAACUUAGGUUGUGUUGUGUUGUCUAGAAUACCAGAGGCUGAAGGAAGACCUGAUUGAGCUUUAUAAGAUUAUGGAUAGAUAGCUCUUAUCUUUUCCCCAGGAUCUAAUACUAGAGCACAUGUAUUUAAGGUGAGAGGCAGGAGGUUCAAAGGAGAUGUGCAGGGUACAUUUUUUUUACACACACAGUGGUGGGUGCUACUAGGGGUGAUGGUUGAAGCAGAUAUGAUAGAUGUGUUUUAAGAUCCUUGGAGUGGACAUCAUCAAUAGCCUUAUCGGGUCCAACUACUUAGAAGCCAUGUGCAAGAAAGCUCUAUGCCUCUGCUUCCUCAAGAGUCUAAAGAAAGGCAUCAUGUCCCCUUUGAGCCUCACCAAUUUUUAUCAGUGCAUCAUAGAAAGCAUCCUGUCUGCAUGCAUAACGGCUUGGUAUGGCGUCUGCUCUGUACGUGACUGCAAGAAGCUGCACAGAGUUGUGAGCACUGUCCGGUCCAUCAUGGAAACUAUCCUCCCCUCUGUACAUCCUGUUUUCACUUCUCGCUGCCUCAGUAAAUCAAAGACCCCACCCACCCUGGGCACCCUCUCUUCUCCACCCUCCCAUCGGGCAGAGGGUACAACUGUUUGGUGCUGUGAAAAGUUGCUACAGGGUGUCAUUACACCAGACAGUAGCUGAAGUGCACCUCACAGUGCUGGCAUGUGAGACCAUACUAUGGUUUGUGGUAUCCAGAGGCAAAAUGGGCAGAAGGAAUGGAUAUCAAUCUCAGAUCCAAAUCGUUGAUCGGGACCGGUGUGAGAAGAUGGAUGGGGGGUAAACUGAUGGUCAGGCAGAAACCAGUCAGCUUCUAAAACAGUGUUCCUACCUGCUCUCUCCAUUCCACCUCCAUAACUUCAAUCUUGUGUCUCUUCAGACCAAGAGGCCUCCCACUGCUAGAAGGUGAGGUUGACCUGGUACAUGGCCCAGGGCAGGGUCCGAAGGUGUUACAGUCUCAGCUCAAGGUGUCCAAGCCACUCACCUGCCCUAGGGAGAGAAAAUGUUCCCACCCUCAGCAGCCAAGGACCUGUGGUGGGAAGCUACAGGUCGGGCAUCAUGGUAGCAUGGCAGUUAGUGUAACGCUAUACUACAGCACCAACGACCCGAGUUCAAACCCACCACUGUCUGUAGGGUUUGUAUGUUCUCCCCAUGACCGCGUGGGUUUUCUCUGAGUGCUCAGGUUACCUCCCACAUUUCAAAGAUGUACGGGAUAGUAGGUUAAUUAGUCACACGUCUGUAAUGGGGCUCGCUGGGCCAGAAGGGCUUGAUAUCAUGAAGUGUGUGUAUAUAUAUAUAAAAUAUGUGUGUGUGUAUUAUAUAUGUAUGUGUAUGUAUACAUAUGUAUAAAUAAAGUAAGCAAGUAAGUUGAUCAGUACUAAAACCUUUCUUUACAUCCUAGAAAGAAGUUAUUGUGCCUUAUUGAGUCUAUGGUGACUCAUGGAACAACGCCA